UACACAUGCAAGUCGAACGAUGAACCCACUUGCUGGGUGGAUUAGUGGCGAACGGGUGAGUAACACGUGAGUAACCUGCCCUUGACUCUAGGAUAAGCCCGGGAAACUGGGUCUAAUACUGGAUAGGAACGUCUACCGCAUGGUGGAUGUUGGAAAGAAUUUCGGUCAUGGAUGGACUCGCGGCCUAUCAGCUUGUUGGUGAGGUAAUGGCUCACCAAGGCGACGACGGGUAGCCGGCCUGAGAGGGUGACCGGCCACACUGGGACUGAGACACGGCCCAGCACUCCUACGGGAGGCAGCAGUGGGGAAUAUUGCACAAUGGGCGAAAGCCUGAUGCAGCGACGCCGCGUGAGGGAUGACGGCCUUCGGGUUGUAAACCUCUUUCAGUAGGGAAGAAGCGAAAGUGACGGUACCUGCAGAAGAAGCACCGGCUAACUACGUGCCAGCAGCCGCGGUAAUACGUAGGGUGCGAGCGUUAUCCGGAAUUAUUGGGCGUAAAGAGCUCGUAGGCGGUUUGUCGCGUCUGUCGUGAAAGUCCGGGGCUUAACCCCGGAUCUGCGGUGGGUACGGGCAGACUAGAGUGCAGUAGGGGAGACUGGAAUUCCUGGUGUAGCGGUGGAAUGCGCAGAUAUCAGAGGAACACCGAUGGCGAAGGCAGGUCUCUGGGCUGUAACUGACGCUGAGGAGCGAAAGCAUGGGGAGCGAACAGAUAA
rnacentral:rRNA from 1 species